UCUUGCAGAGGGACUUACCCAUGAACCUUUGCUCUCCCCCUCGCCUCUCAGCCUGAACUGCAGCUUCCUUCCUGAGACAUGAUGUAAUGAUAGUCUUGGUUCCUUGCUCUUACCUAAUGGAGAAGGAACUGAAGAUGUCAAACACAAACACACCGAGACCCUUGACGAGAAAGACCAUGGUUGUGAGGUUCAUGGGAAAUGAAUGGAGCAUCUCUUAUCUGUAUGGCUGAGGAGCAGGAGCUGCUUCUGACUCUUUUGCCUGCGUUUGGGACCGUUCCCCUCCUGCUGGGUUGCCUCAUUCAGCUUUCGUUUGAGGGAAGAUACCUGAUCCCUUUUGCAACUUGAUAAGCCGUCUUGGGUUGACAACCCUGGCAACUCCACCUUUUUCUGAAGGGAAUUAACGAGGAGUGGAUUUGGGGGAGAGGGGAGGAAAAGAAAUGAUGGUCAGGAUGUAAUAGAUGAGAGA
rnacentral:sRNA from 1 species